AAUUAUAAGCUAUUCUGUUACACCGUUCCGUAAUUUAUAUAGUUCGUUUGAUUAUAUUCUUAAUCUAUUUAUGUGUUCCAACCUAGGAGGAUUAUUCAUCUUUAACGUUAAAACAUCGUACCGUCGCUACCUUUCCCUCUCUCAAACUGAACAUUGCAAGGUCAUACCAGUUCUGGAGAACUUUUCAAAGACAAACGUCAUCUAGGACACAAUUCGUGGCUAACCACAAAGUGAGUUAACU
rnacentral:lncRNA from 1 species